UGGCGCACGGGUGCGUAACGCGUGGGAAUCUGCCCUUGGGUUCGGAAUAACAGUUGGAAACGGCUGCUAAUACCGGAUGAUGUCGUAAGUCCAAAGAUUUAUCGCCCAAGGAUGAGCCCGCGUAGGAUUAGCUAGUUGGUGAGGUAAAGGCUCACCAAGGCGACGAUCCUUAGCUGGUCUGAGAGGAUGAUCAGCCACACUGGGACUGAGACACGGCCCAGACUCCUACGGGAGGCAGCAGUGGGGAAUAUUGGACAAUGGGCGAAAGCCUGAUCCAGCAAUGCCGCGUGAGUGAUGAAGGCCUUAGGGUUGUAAAGCUCUUUUACCCGAGAUGACAAUGACAGUACCGGGAGAAUAAGCCCCGGCUAACUCCGUGCCAGCAGCCGCGGUAAU
rnacentral:rRNA from 1 species